rnacentral:rRNA from 1 species
UACGUAGGGUGCGAGCGUUGUCCGGAAUUACUGGGCGUAAAGAGCUCGUAGGUGGUUUGUCGCGUCUGCCGUGAAAGUCCGGGGCUCAACUCCGGAUCUGCGGUGGAUACGGGCAGACUAGAGUGAUGUAGGGGAGACUGGAAUUCCUGGUGUAGCGGUGAAAUGCGCAGAUAUCAGGAGGAACACCGAUGGCGAAGGCAGGUCUCUGGGCAUUAACUGACGCUGAGGAGCGAAAGCAUGGGGAGCGAACAGG